rnacentral:misc_RNA from 1 species
UCCGGCUUAUCACCGGCAGUUUCUUCAGAGUGCUCAGCUUGACCUGUUAGCAACAGAAGACGAGGGUUGCGCUCGUUGCGGGACUUAACCCAACAUCUCACGACACGAGCUGACGACAGCCAUGCAGCACCUGUGCAUAUCCCACCCGAAGUGAAGGACUCUCUUUCAAGAAUCCAUAGAGAGCAUGUCAAACCCUGGUAAGGUUCUUCGCGUUGCCUCGAAUUAAACCACAUGUUCCACCGCUUGUGCGGGUCCCCGUCAAUUUCUUUGAGUUUUAAUCUUGCGACCGUACUCCCCAGGCGGGGUGCUUAACGCGUUAGCUGCGCCACAGAGAGGUAACCCCCCUACGGCUAGCACCCAUCGUUUACGGCGUGGACUAC